GACGAACGCUGGCGGCGUGCUUAACACAUGCAAGUCGAACGGGAUUUCGUAAACAGAAGCCUCGGUGGAAGAUUACUAAUGAGAGUGGCGAACGGGUGAGUAACGCGUGAGCAACCUGCCUAUGACAGUGGGAUAGCCUCGGGAAACCGGGAUUAAUACCGCAUAAAAUCGUAGAAACACAUGUUUUAACGGUCAAAGAUUUAUCGGUCAUAGAUGGGCUCGCGUCUGAUUAGCUAGUUGGUGAGAUAACAGCCCACCAAGGCGACGAUCAGUAGCCGGUCUGAGAGAUGAACGGCCACAUUGGAACUGAGACACGGUCCAAACUCCUACGGGAGGCAGCAGUGGGGAAUAUUGCACAAUGGGGGAAACCCUGAUGCAGCGACGCCGCGUGAACGAAGAAGGUAUUCGUAUCGUAAAGUUCUGUCCUAUGGGAAGAUAAUGACAGUACCAUAGAAGAAAGCUCCGGCUAAAUACGUG
rnacentral:rRNA from 1 species